rnacentral:rRNA from 1 species
GAUGAACGCUGGCGACGUGCCUAAUACAUGCAAGUCGAGCGAACAGACGAUGAGAUCUUUCCCUUGCCGUUAGCGGCGGACGGGCGAGUAACACAUGGAUCACCUACUUCUAUGUCUGGGAUAAUAACGUGAAACCGGUGCUACUAAUACCUCAUAUAUUCUACCGCAUGGUUCAAUAGUGAUUGACGCUUUUGCUGAUUCAUAUAGCUGAUUUCGCGCCGGAUUAGCUAGUUGGUAAGGUAACGGCUUACCAAGGCGACGAUGCGUAGCCGACCUGAGAGGAUGAUCAGCCACACUGGAACUGAGACACGGUCCAGACUCCUACGGGAGGCAGCAGUAGGGAAUCUUGGACAAUGGGCGAAAGCCUGACGCAGCAACACCGCGUGAGUGAAGAAGGUCUUCGGGUCGUAAAGCCCUUUUGUUGGGGAAGAACAGAUGUGGGUGAAACUAUGGACGUCUUGACGGUACCUAAUGAAAAAGCAACGGCUAACUACGUG